rnacentral:rRNA from 1 species
AUUGAACGCUGGCGGCAGGCCUAACACAUGCAAGUCGAACGGUAACAGGAAGAGGCUUGCUUCUUUGCUGACGAGUGGCGGACGGGUGAGUAAUGUCUGUGAAACUGCCUGAUGGAGGGGGAUAACUACUGGAAACGGUAGCUAAUCCCGCAUAACGUCGCAAGGCCAAAGAGGGGGACCUUCGGGCCUCUUGCCAUCGGCUUUGCCCAGAUGGGAUUAGCUAGUAGGUGGGGUAACGGCUAACCUAGGCGACGAUCCCUAGCUGGUCUGAGAGGAUGACCAGCCACACUGGAACUGAGACACGGUCCAGACUCCUACGGGAGGCAGCAGUGGGGAAUAUUGCACAAUGGGCGCAAGCCUGAUGCAGCCAUGCCGCGUGUAUGAAGAAGGCCUUCGGGUUGUAAAGUACUUUCAGCGGGGAGGAAGGGAGUAAAGUUAAUACCUUUGCUCAUUGACGUUACCCGCAGAAGAAGCACCGGCUAACUCCGUG